UCACAUGUAGACAUAAAUUGCUGUAAUGUCAGGUGAAAGUGGUGCCUUAAGAGACUCAGACAGCCAUGUGUCAAUUCAGAGAUGCCAGGCUAAGUCCACAUGAUCAUAGACCUUCCAUUUGAGGCAGUAAAUUUUAAAGGAAAGCAUGGAGUAUUUAGAGUCAGACCUGAGCGUGGUUCUUACUAGCCAUGUGACUUCAGAGGAGCUGCCUCAAUGAGCUUCAAUUUUCUCAUUUGAAAAAUGGAACUGGACCAUAUUCAUCUUGACAUGAGGACCAUAGCAGAUGACUUGGGCUCAAGCCCUCAACGAAAGCCACUUCCCUUCCCUCUACUCUGCAGAUCUAAUUGGCCCUUUCCUUCUCCCACAGCCCCUGCAGCUGUGAAAGGUGUCUGCCUUUAACAGCUAGAGAGGGAUGAUGUGGGGACAGCUACUGCGCUGGACUCAAAAGCAAACUUCCUGAACCUUGGAUUUCCACCUCAGUUCUGUCAUUCCCUGUUGAUGUUCUUGGGAGAGAAGGAUCUUGGGUCUGAGGCCAGCCAGACACUCUUACUCACCAUGUGACCUUAGGAACAUCAAAAGCUCUGGCAAAAGAAGAAGGUCCCAGGAUCCACUUACUACAAGGAAGAAAUUUCACCACCUUUAUUUCCUAACCUUGUCAGUGUGACUUUGAGACUUCUGGAAGAGCUCAGAGCUAUGCAGCCCUGUUAUGCCUGGUAAGGCAGUAGCUUUUAAAAUUUUAUAUAUAUAUAUAUGUGUGUCCUUGAGUCUGUCCUGGAGGAUGGGGGCUGCCUCUUCAUGGUCUCCAAGAGGUAUUGUUAGGAUAUGGAAAGAGCAGGAGUCUCCGAGCAAAGACGUGGGUUCAAAUCCUGACUCCGCCUCUUACCCAAGCAAACCACAUCAUCGCUCAAAAGCCUCGUUUUCGUCACCUGUCAAUUGGACUCUGACCUUGCAGAGUUGUGGGCACUGAAUAUGAGAAUACUUGUCUCUUUCUCAUCAUCAACUUAGACUGUACCAGGUGGGAGUUUUUAAUUCCCAUUUCACAGGUGGGAAAAUUGAGGUUCAAGGAACUUAUAUCAACUACCCCAAGAGCCAAUGGCCAUGAAGUGUCAGAGCUGGAAUGAGAUUACAAAAGAAGUGGACAAAGGGGUCGUGGGACUGCAGACAUGGACACGUACUCCAGCUUGAGAAGUUAAAGCCUUCCUGAGUGGGGAGAGGUCUCAGCUGAGACCUGGAGGCGAGACAGUGAGGCGUUAACUGGGCUGAGAAGUAGGAGAGGGAUUCCCAAAAGUGGGGACAGAAAAUGCCAACAUCCAGAAGUAGGAGACACCCAAAGUAGCAAUACCUCAGCUCUUGCAGCUGGAGAGGUGAGCCAGGGUCACAAAUAGCCCCACAAGCCACACUAAUGAGAAAUCCAACCACAGAGGCAGCCCUCUUGGAGCUUGCUUUACAUCAACACAUGAUAACAUUCUUCUUAGAAAAAAUUAAAACAAGGCCCGGCACGAUGCAUGCCUGUAAUCCCAGCACUUAGGGAGGCCAAGGCAGGCAGAUCACUCGAGGCCAGGAGUUUGAGAUCAGCGUGGCCAACAUGGCGAAAACCCGUCUCUACUAAAAAUACAAAAAUUAGCUGGACGUGGUGAUGUGCACCUCUAAUCCCAGCUACUCGGGAGGCUGAGGCAGGAGAAUCACUUGAACCUGGGAGGCGGAGGCUGCAGUGAGGCGAGAUCACACCACUGCACUCCAUCCUGGGCGACAGAGAGUGACUCCAUCUCAAAAGAGGUAAAAAAAAAAAAAAAGAAAAAAAAAGGAAACAAGACCCUCUUGGCCACCCCAAGCCCUGUGUCUUCCUCUCCUUUCCAGAGUGACCCUCUGUAAAUGACUCAGUGUGCAUCUUCCCAGUUUUUGUCCAUAUAUUUAUAAUUUUUCUAUAUAUUCACAUAUUCCUCAAAUUCUACAAUGCACACUUGAUUAUACUUUUUUUGUUGUUUGUUUUUGAGAUAGGGUCUCACUCUGACACCCAGGCUGAAGUGCCGUGGGCCUUAUCUCGGCUCACUGCAACCUCCAUUUCCCAGGCUCAAGCAACCCCCGACUUCAGCCUCCCAAGUAGCUGGGACCACAGGCGCAUGCCACCACGUCCGGCUAAUUUUUUGUAUUCUUGGUAGAGACAGCGUUUCACCAUGUUGCCCAGACUGGUCUAGAACUCCUGAGCUCAAGUGAUCCACCUGCCUCGGCCUCCCAAAGUGCUGGGAUUACAGGCGUGAGCCACCAUGCCCAGCCUUUAUCAUACUUUAACAGAUCUGAAAAUAGAGUAUGUUUGACCAUCCACAGCACCCCACAAUCAUAAUUGGCAGUAUAUUUGUCUAUCUUAAUGGCACAUAAGGUAAACGUGCAUCUUAAAAUUUUGUUAUAUACCCACAGAAAAGGUGUAAUAUUGGGGAGUUUCUUUGAGGGGGGAUAAUAAAUGACAUCCUGCUGCCCAUAACACUCUGUAACUUGCUUUCUUCAUUCCACAGUACAUCUUAAUAUAUUCUUUUUAUAGGCUAUGUAAUAUUAACACUAAUAUGCAUUAGUAUAUUCUUUUUACAGGCUAUAUAAUAUUCCACAACAUGAAUAUACACCUAUAAAUGUCUAGCCAUCUCUCCAUCUGUGGGCAGUGAGGCUAUACAGACCUUGUUUUUCACUGUUUCAAACUGGUAUGGUGAACUUUUUAGAAGACUCACAUGGCCGAUACUAAGAAGUGGACUUGUGUGUGUGUGAGAGACAGGGUCCCACUCUAUUGCCCAGGCUGGAGUGCAAUGGUGUGAUCUCGGCCCACUGAAACCUCUGCCUCUUGAGCUCAAGCAAUUCCCGUGCCUCA
rnacentral:lncRNA from 1 species